UACGUAGGGUGCAGGCGUUAAUCGGAAUUACUGGGCGUAAAGCGUGCGCAGGCGGUUUGUCGCGUCUGCUGUGAAAACUCGGGGCUUAACUCCGGGCCUGCAGUGGGUACGGGCAGACUAGAGUGCGGUAGGGGAGACUGGAAUUCCUGGUGUAGCGGUGAAAUGCGUAGAUAUUGGGAGGAACACCAGUGGCGAAGGCGGCUCACUGGACCGGUACUGACGCUGAUGCGCGAAAGCGUGGGGAGCAACGGG
rnacentral:rRNA from 1 species